GACGAACGCUGGCGGCGUGCUUAACACAUGCAAGUCGAACGAAGUGGCGAACGGGUGAGUAACGCGUAGGUAACUACCUAUUAGAGGGGGAUAACUAUUGGAAACGAUAGCUAAUACCGCAUACUAGUAGAUGGACCUGCGUUGUAUUAGCUAGUAGGUAGGGUAAUGGCCUACCUAGGCAACGAUACAUAGCCGACCUGAGAGGGUGAUCGGCCACACUGGGACUGAGACACGGCCCAGACUCCUACGGGAGGCAGCAGUAGGGAAUCUUCGGCAAUGGGGGGAACCCUGACCGAGCAACGCCGCGUGAGUGAAGAAGGUUUUCGGAUCGUAAAGCUCUGUUGUUAAGGAAGCGGUACUUAACCAGAAAGGGACGGCUAACUACGUGCCAGCAGCCGCGGUAAUAC
rnacentral:rRNA from 1 species